rnacentral:rRNA from 1 species
GAUGAACGCUGGCGGCGUGCCUAAUACAUGCAAGUCGAGCGAACAGACGAGGAGCUUGCUCCUCUGACGUUAGCGGCGGACGGGUGAGUAACACGGGGAUAACCUAACUAUAUGACUGGGAUAACUUCGGGAAACCGUAUCUACUAACGGAUAAUAUAUUGAACCGCAUUGUUCAAUAGUGAAAUACGGUUUUUCUUACGGUAAUAGAUGAAUCCGCGCACAAUUAGCUAGUGGGUAAGGUAACGGCUUACCAAGGCAACGAUGGUUAGACGACCCGAGAGGGUGAUUGGCCACCCGGGAAGUGAGACACGGCACAGACUCUGACGGGAGGCAGCAGUAGGGAAUCUUCCGCAAUGGGCGAAAGCCUGACGGAGCAACGCGGGGUGAGUGAUGAAGGUCUUCGGAUCGUAAAACUCUGUUAUUCGGGAAGAACAAAUGUGUAAGUAACUAUGCACGUCUUGACGGUACCUAAUGAGAAAGCCACGGCUAACUACGUG